rnacentral:lncRNA from 1 species
CUUCAGUUUUCAUCAAAGAGCCUCAGAGAGGCCCUCUUUCUGUUCUUUACUUCUUCUUUAUUUUUUGGAGUUCAGAAGAAUGGCCUUUAUGACCCCCUGUGCUUCUGCGGUGUGGAUCCAGGUCUGCAACUGUGCCUUUUAACUCUGCAGUACACAUGGGCUUUGUCAAAGACUGUAAAUCACAUAAAGGGAUGGGCAGAAAGUAACAGACAGCAAAUGGCUUUUCAGAAGGACUUCUGUGUUGGUAAGAACUGGAUUCAGCUACUUUGAGAACAGAAUGUGAACAGAACAUUUCAACUUUACACAAAAUGCAAUAACUAGAGGAUGAAGGUUUGAAAUGAGACUGAGUUGAAGCAUGCCACAAAUAAUUUACAGCUUCCCUUCUCAAUCUUUUGCCCUGGAGCAAUUCUUGAAAUAAUUGUCAAGUCUUAGGGAACUGUUGGAUAAAUAUUCUUAUAUCUACCAUUCACAGA